rnacentral:rRNA from 1 species
GACGAACGCUGGCGGCGUGCUUAACACAUGCAAGUCGAACGAAGUGGCGAACGGGGGAGUAACGCGUAAUCAACCUGCCCUUCAGAGGGGGACAACAGUUGGCAACGACUGCUAAUACCGCAUACUGAAGGAGGGGAUUGAGUCUGAUUAGCUAGUGGGAGGGGUACAGGCCCACCAAGGCGAUGAACAGGAGCCGGUCUGAGAGGAUGAACGGCCACAUUUGGACUGAGACACGGCCCAGACUCCUACGGGAUGCAGCAGUGGGGAAUCUUCCGCAAUGGACGAAAGUCUGACGGAGCAACGCCGCGUGAGUGAUGACGGCCUUCGGGUUGUAAAGCUCUGUUAAUCGGGACGCGGUACCGGAAUAGAAAGCCACGGCUAACUACGUGCCAGCCGCCGCGGUAAUAC